AGUGAACGCUGGCGGUAGGCCUAACACAUGCAAGUCGAACGGCAGCACAGUAAGAGCCUGCUCUUACGGGUGGCGAGUGGCGGACGGGUGAGGAAUACAUCGGAAUCUACUUUUUCGUGGGGGAUAACGUAGGGAAACUUACGCUAAUACCGCAUACGACCUACGGGUGAAAGCAGGGGAUCUUCGGACCUUGCGCGAUUGAAUGAGCCGAUGUCGGAUUAGCUAGUUGGCGGGGUAAAGGCCCACCAAGGCGACGAUCCGUAGCUGGUCUGAGAGGAUGAUCAGCCACACUGGAACUGAGACACGGUCCAGACUCCUACGGGAGGCAGCAGUGGGGAAUAUUGGACAAUGGGCGCAAGCCUGAUCCAGCCAUACCGCGUGGGUGAAGAAGGCCUUCGGGUUGUAAAGCCCUUUUGUUGGGAAAGAAAAGCAGCAGAUUAAUACCCCGCUGUUCUGACGGUACCCAAAGAAUAAGCACCGGCUAACUUCGUG
rnacentral:rRNA from 1 species